rnacentral:rRNA from 1 species
GUAGGUGGCAAGCGUUGUCCGGAACUUAUGGGCGGUAAAGCGCGCGCAGGCGGUUCUUUAAGUCUGAUGUGAAAGCCCACGGCUCAACCGUGGAGGGUCAUUGGAAACUGGAGAACUUGAGUACAGAAGAGGAAAGCGGAAUUCCACGUGUAGCGGUGAAAUGCGUAGAGAUGUGGAGGAACACCAGUGGCGAAGGCGGCUUUCUGGUCUGUAACUGACGCUGAGGCGCGAAAGCGUGGGGAGCAAACAGGAUUAGAUACCCUGGUAGUCCACGCCGUAAACGAUGAGUGCUAAGUGUUAGGGGGGUUUCCGCCCCCCUUAGUGCUGCAGCUAACGCAUUAAGCACUCCGCCUGGGAGUACGGCCGCAAGGCUG